CUCCUGGGGCCUGCGGUCAUAUAUAUAUUACAUAAACAAUAAAAAAAUAUUUCAACGCCAUCUUUUGCGUAUAUGCGCGAAUAAUACCUCAAAUCUAUGUAGUGGUAUGUCAUCCACUAUAUUAAACGGAUUUUGGUUUUAUAAGUGACAGUGAUUUGAAGUAUUCUCAUUUCGAAGUUGACGGUGGCUGUGCGACGGCAAACACGUGAUUUUAUUAUAAUUUCCAAGGAUUAUAAGAUACUGAGAUCUACCAACACCUGGAUGAGUCAAAUAUUGACCUAUAUGAUGGACCUAUGGAGUUUCUUGCCGGUUCUUCUCCAUAGAUACUGCUUUCCGAAUCGGUGGUAAAUGUUAAUACUGUUG